GUAAUCAUGGUCGAGUGGUUAAGGUGAUGGGCUUGAAAUCCAUUGGGGUUUCCCUGCACAGGUUUGUAUCCUGUUGAUUACG